AAACAUUGCUUUAUGUUUACUUAUAAGGUUAACCCUGCUCAAUGAUAUAUUAAAUAGCCGCAGUACCUUGACUGUGCAAAGGUAGCAUAAUCAUUUGGCUUAUAAUUGAAGUCUAGUAUGAAUGGGAAUAUGGGUAGUUACUGUCUUACCAUAAGUUAAUGAAUUUACUAAUUAAGUGAAAAUUCUUAUAAUAAUAUAAUAGACGAGAAGACCCUAGAAAUUUUAUAUAUUUAUGUGAUUACAUAAGCUAUUUUGUUGGGGCGACAAAACAACAAUAAACUUGUUUACUAAAUAUUUGACCUUAUUGAGUAGAAUAAAUAAAUUACUCUAGGGAUAACAGCAUAAUACAAAAGAGUUUGUGACCUCGAUGUUGGACUAGGAAUAUUAUUGUUUAGAAGAUAAUAAUUAAGGCUCUGUUCGAGCUUAAUUUCCUACGUGAUC
rnacentral:rRNA from 1 species